UACGAAGGGGGCUAGCGCUGUUCGGAAUUACUGGGCGUAAAGCGCGCGCAGGCGGCUAUCCAAGUCAGUGGUGAAAGCCCGGAGCUCAACUCCGGAACUGCCAUUGAAACUGUUUAGCUUGAGGACGAGAGAGGUGAGUGGAAUUCCCAGUGUAGAGGUGAAAUUCGUAGAUAUUGGGAAGAACACCGGUGGCGAAGGCGGCUCACUGGCUCGUAUCUGACGCUCAGGCGCGAUAGCGUGGGGAUCAAACAGG
rnacentral:rRNA from 1 species